rnacentral:rRNA from 1 species
AUACGUAGGGUGCGAGCGUUGUCCGGAAUUACUGGGCGUAAAGAGCUCGUAGGUGGUUUGUCGCGUCGUCUGUGAAAUUCCGGGGCUUAACUCCGGGCGUGCAGGCGAUACGGGCACAACUUGAGUACUGUAGGGGAGACUGGAAUUCCUGGUGUAGCGGUGAAAUGCGCAGAUAUCAGGAGGAACACCGGUGGCGAAGGCGGGUCUCUGGGCAGUAACUGACGCUGAGGAGCGAAAGCAUGGGUAGCGAACAGGAUGAGAUACCCUGGUAGUCCAUGCCGUAAACGGUGGGCGCUAGGUGUAGGGGUCUUCCACGACUUCUGUGCCGUAGCUAACGCAUUAAGCGCCCCGCCUGGGGAGUACGGCCGCAAGGCUAAAACUCAAAGGAAUUGACGGG